rnacentral:rRNA from 1 species
GACGAACGCUGGCGGCGUGCCUAAUACAUGCAAGUCGAACGCAGUGGGGACGGGUGAGUAACACGUGGGUAACCUCCCAUCAGAGGGGAUAACACUUGGAAACAGGUGCUAAACCGAUACUGAUGGAUGGACCCGCGGUGCAUUAGCUAGUUGGUGGGGUAACGGCUCACCAAGGCCACGAUGCAUAGCCGAACUGAGAGGAUUACCAGCCACACUGGAACUGAGACACGGCCCAGACUCCUACGGGAGGCAGCAGUAGGGAAUAUUCGGCAAUGGACGAAAGUCUGAUCGAGCAACGCCGCGUGUGUGAAGAAGGCUUUCGGAUCGUAAAACUCUGUUGUCAGGGAGGCGGUAUCUAACCAGAAAGCAACGGCUAACUACGUGCCAGCAGCCGCGGUAAUUC